CCUACGGGGGGCAGCAGUGGGGAAUAUUGCACAAUGGGCCCAAGCCUGAUGCAGCCAUGCCGCGUGUGUGAAGAAGGCCUUCGGGUUGUAAAGCACUUUCAGCGGGGAGGAAGGCGGUGAGGUUAAUAACCUCAUCGAUUGACGUUACCCGCAGAAGAAGCACCGGCUAACUCCGUGCCAGCAGCCGCGGUAAUACGGAGGGUGCAAGCGUUAAUCGGAAUUACUGGGCGUAAAGCGCACGCAGGCGGUCUGUCAAGUCGGAUGUGAAAUCCCCGGGCUCAACCUGGGAACUGCAUUCGAAACUGGCAGGCUAGAGUCUUGUAGAGGGGGGUAGAAUUCCAGGUGUAGCGGUGAAAUGCGUAGAGAUCUGGAGGAAUACCGGUGGCGAAGGCGGCCCCCUGGACAAAGACUGACGCUCAGGUGCGAAAGCGUGGGGAGCAAACAGGAUUAGAUACCCGGGUAGUC
rnacentral:rRNA from 1 species